rnacentral:rRNA from 1 species
UAUGGCUCAGGACGAACGCUGGCGGCGUGCCUAACACAUGCAAGUCGAGCGAGGAGAUCCUUCGGGAUGAUCCUAGCGGGCGGACGGGUCGAGUAACACGUGGGCAACCUGCCUCAUAGAGAGGAAUACGCCUUCCGAAAGGGAGAUUAAUACCUCAUAACAUUGCAGUUUCGCAUGGAACAGCAAUUAAAGGAGUAAUCCGCUAUGGAGAUGGGGCCCCGCGGCGCAUUAGCUAGUUGGUGAGGUAACGGCUCACCAAGGCGACGAUGCGUAGCCGACCUGAGAGGGUGAUCGGCCACAUUGGGACUGAGACACGGCCCAGACUCCUACGGGAGGCAGCAGUGGGGAAUAUUGCACAAUGGGGGAAACCCUGAUGCAAGCAACGCCGCGUGAGUGAUGACGGCCUUCGGGGUUGUAAAGCUCUGUCUUCAGGGACGAUAAUGACGGUACCUGAGGAGGAAGCCACGGCUAACUACGUGCCAGCCGCUGC